rnacentral:lncRNA from 1 species
AAUUGGGAAAUGGCUCGUAUGCUGACAAUUGUCGCGGCUGCUUUGGUCAUUAUUGCAGCAGACGAAUCAUGGAAUGCACUUGGCGAAGAAACUCACGAGAAGUGCACGAAUCUCUGGAAAACGUUUUGGGACGACAACGGCAAUGUACUGAGAUUCCGGACAACUGGUUGGAAUUUCCCGAGUGUGAACACUUGCACAUGGUACCGACGUGAGGGCUGUAAUAACACCGGGGUCAAACUAUCGCCCUGGUACUAUUUUGUUGAGCAGGAACGAAAGAAAGAUGAUUCUUGGUUGCCCAAGUAUUAUUGGACAUUUGGCGAAAAUGAUUCUAUGUGGAGAUACGAUGAGCAAGGUUUGGAGGUAGAGUAUUUGUUUUAUAAAGAAAACGAUAGCAGCUGUGCUGUUAUUGAACAUCGCUACUACAUGUUUGA